UACGGAGGAUCCGAGCGUUAUCCGGAUUUAUUGGGUUUAAAGGGUGCGCAGGCGGGGGAUUAAGUCGGCGGUGAAAUUUUGCAGCUCAACUGUAAAAGUGCCUUCGAAACUGGUUUCCUUGAGUGUAGAUGAAGUAGGCGGAAUUUGUGGUGUAGCGGUGAAAUGCUUAGAUAUCACGAGGAACUCCGAUUGCGCAGGCAGCUUACUAAGCCAUAACUGACGCUCAAGCACGAAGGCGUGGGGAUCAAACAGGAUUAGAUACCCUGGUAGU
rnacentral:rRNA from 1 species